GUCCACACAGCGGCCCAUUGUCCUUACCCUUCCAGCCCCGAGGAGGACUGGCCCCCAGCAGAAGUGACUUGGACAGGGCCUAUUCUUGCCAGAAGCCCACCAGGGCUGUCUCAGGCCUGGCCUUUCAGUCUCCUGGGGUUGUUCUUUUGAACAGAGGGAUCAAGGCCUUGCUCAGUACUGCAGCUCAUUCAGAGCCCAGAGUUGAAUGCCUGUUUCUGAGAUUUGAGACUGCCUUGAACCCCCAAGCUUGGCCUUGGUUCAGGGUGGAGGGUGGGCCUCAGCAUGGAGCAUUCGCACAUUCUGUUGCUGCACAGCUGUUUCCAGAGGCCCGAUCUGCUCCCGCCCACGACAAGAAAGGACCUAGAAAUCACCUCUGCUGCAGACUCCAGCAGCCCAAACCCAGUAACAAAACCUUGUGCCAGGCCAAACUACAACUCUCGUUUCUAGGAAAUACCAGCUAAACGAGGGCGUGCCAUGCCAUAGCCAAGAAACAGGAAACAUACAGACAAGAGUACUCUCCGCCAUCACCAAUCCAGGUAGGAAGUGGGUGUCAGUGACUGUGCAUCUGGAACCUUCGAAGUUC
rnacentral:lncRNA from 1 species